CACGGAUCUCAUCCACCCGCACCGACAAUGCUACAUCGGGUACAAUAGCUUGUUCUUCUCCUUCAGUGUUACUGUCCAAACAGGUCGCUGACAUAGUAGACAGUUGAGAAGUCAUUAUGCUAAGGCUCAAUAGGACCGGCACAUCACAACAAUAAACGCCGUCGAUGAAGAAAAGCGUCGAUCAGAAGGAUUUAGCCUGAAGACACACAAACGCAGACGAAUAAAGACCGGACCCAACUUCAGAGAGUCGCCGCCCUCUCAUCUUACUGAGCAGGACACAAACACUAAACAAACUCAAAAGAACACCUAAAAAUGAAGCAGUAGCCCUCCCACCAGUAAGGGCCGGGAUACACCAAGUCAGAUUGACGACGACACCGGCAGGAGGAGGGAGAACCCUAGACGAGGGACGCGGAGUUUCUGCACCCGAGCUCAAAUGAGCUCGGUUGAACAGUAAAAUCAAAACUAAAUCAAAAAAAUCCAAAAAAAUCCAAAUUUUUUUUGGGAGAAACAUUGACAAAAGUUUUAAGUGCUUGCAAAAAUUCGUCAUGAAAUCACAUUUCUAGAAGUCGUGGCAAAAAAAAAUCGAUACUCUGAAAAUGCUACUUUCAAAAGCAUUUUGAAGCACUGGAUUUAUUUUUUUUUGCCACGCCUUACAGGAAUGUGAUUUCAUGAUGAAUUUUUGCAAGCACUUAAAAGUUUUGUCAGUGAUUCUCCCAAAAAAAAUUGGAAUUUUGUUUGAAUUUUUUUUUCGAUUUUACUGUUCACCAAGCUCAAAUGAGCUCGGGAGCAGAACGGCACUUUCGCUAGAUGAGUAGCUUGUGUGGGAGAGGAGCUGAAAACGUGAUGUUCUCUGCCCGACAUUUCCGUUAUGCCGAAUUGCUAUGUCGACAGACACCAGUAAUUGGAAAGAAAAGAAAAAAGAAACAUAAUGGCGGCAGCGAGAGCGGAGAGCAUAAAGCGGUUCCUGUUAUUUUCGCGAAUCGAUUCGUGUUAAUUCCAGACGCCAUAGGAAUAGGAUGCAUGGACAGCAGCUUCCCUCCCAGACGAGGCAGCCGCAGUGCGACACUGUGCGUGCCGACCUGGUAGGGCACGUGUCCACCGUCGGUCCACACUCAUGUACGCAUGAACUGAGCCCCCAGCUUCAAAUCAUUCAGAUAAGGCCGGUCACAGUGGGGAGGAACUUAGGAGUAACAUCACACACUCCAAUACAACUUUGCUUAUGUGGCACGUAUUUAAUGAAGAGAGAGGUGCUUGUGGUAACUAGCUAAGUUACCGGAACAUCACACACUUCAAGAAACAAUGAGUCUAUAACCUAAUAAAUACAUCGUUGCAUGACACUACAUAGAUGUUCCUACCCACUAUGGAGGUAGUAACAUAGUCUAGGGAAGUGUGAAGUUACUAGCUUAUGUUCUUGCCCAUUGUGACCAGCCUAAUACACACACGGCGGCCCACAUACGGCUACCAUAGAAUGUAAACCGGGCCUAUAAAUUCGAACCGGCCGGCCAUGGUAGUAACGACGAACCAACAAGAAACCUGUAGCACCGAGCUAGGCGAAGGUCGAUCGAGAGAGAUGCAGGGCGGGGAGAGCGCGGCGGGCGCGGCCAUGGAGGCGGGGGCGAACCUGGGCGCGUCGGCGUGGGCGGGCAAGGAGAAGACCAUGGCCGUGGUGCAGGAGACGGUGGAGAAGGCCAAGGCGCACGACGACCCGGCGGCGCAGGCGUCGGCGGAGGCCAGGAAGGAGGAGCGGGUCCUCGAGGUGGAGGCCGCCAAGCAGGACGCCUACCGCCACAACGCGGCCGUCGCCAAGGACGGACGCGCCGCCGCCGUCGUCAAGGAUGAGAAGGAGGCGUCGGCGGCGGCCGUCUCCGCCUGACGACUCCUUUGGAAACCCCCUUCUCCAGUAUUUUCAUUUGUUCGAUCGACUGUAUGUAUGUAUUGUAUUGCUUGGACUUGAGUGCUGCGUGCAUUUGGAAUUAUUGCUGUGAGAGUUGUUGUUGUUGUUGGAGAUGAGAUGGGAUUGCUUUUUAACGUGCAAUGCGAUGUGAUCCUUUGGUCGAUUCGGUUCCGGUGGACGUGUACUAGCAACUUGCUUACUCCUUCACCUCAGCUGUUCCCACUCUACUUCGUAGAAAUCGGUAAGCUAUUUUUUCUCUAAAAUCUAGUAAAAGAAGAUGUAGAAUAAAUCGGCAGCGUUCCCAAAUUGAUUCGUUAUUAUUGGGUACAUGCCGUUUUAAUGUACGUAUGUCACGAUGGUCCAACG
rnacentral:lncRNA from 1 species